rnacentral:rRNA from 1 species
GUUUGUCGCGUUGUUCGUGAAAUCUCACGGCUUAACUGUGAGCGUGCGGGCGAUACGGGCAGACUUGAGUACUGCAGGGGAGACUGGAAUUCCUGGUGUAGCGGUGGAAUGCGCAGAUAUCAGGAGGAACACCGGUGGCGAAGGCGGGUCUCUGGGCAGUAACUGACGCUGAGGAGCGAAAGCGUGGGGAGCGAACAGGAUUAGAUACCCUGGUAGUCCACGCCGUAAACGGUGGGUACUAGGUGUGGGUUUCCUUCCUUGGGAUCCGUGCCGUAGCUAACGCAUUAAGUACCCCGCCUGGGGAGUACGGCCGCAAGGCUAAAACUCAAAGAAAUUGACGGGGGCCCGCACAAGCGGCGGAGCAUGUGGAUUAAUUCGAUGCAACGCGAAGAACCUUACCAGGGUUUGACAUGCACAGGACGCCGGCAGAGAUGUCGGUUCCCUUGUGGCCUGUGUGCAGGUGGUGCAUGGCUGUCGUCAGCUCGUGUCGUGAGAUGUUGGGUUAAGUCCCGCAACGAGCGCAACCCUUGUCUCAUGUUGCCAGCGGGUAAUGCCGGGGACUCGUGAGAGACUGCCGGGGUCAACUCGGAGGAAGGUGGGGAUGACGUCAAGUCAUCAUGCCCCUUAUGUCCAGGGCUUCACACAUGCUACAAUGGCCGGUACAAAGGGCUGCGAUGCCGCGAGGUUAAGCGAAUCCUUUUAAAGCCGGUCUCAGUUCGGAUCGGGGUCUGCAACUCGACCCCGUGAAGUCGGAGUCGC